rnacentral:lncRNA from 1 species
AAUUUACAAAUGCCUUUCGUGUCCAUUUUCCAAAAAAUUUAAUAACUUAACUUAAUGUUUAUUGACACUGACCUGUAAGAUACGUUUCCUGGGGUUGCUAUGAAUCUGACAUAACAUCUGCAAAACAUGGUAAAAAGCAUAAAAUGCUAUCCAAAUACCUCACCAUCAUGUGAAAAUAUAUGUGAGGAAAAUUAUGCACAGAAAGAUAAGCAAUCGGCAUGAGGCAAAUUAUCUUGAACAAGUAUGACACGAUUAAUUUGCUAAGAGAAGGACCACCAACAAGUUAUGAUCAGCUCCAAAAAGGUUGUUUUAACAACUUUGCACCAAACAGAGCAGGCCCCUCACUGACAUAGUGUGCACAAACAUACUUUCUCUUUCCUCAGAGAAUCAGAGUUUAGAGUCGCUUUCUGUUCCCAUCGGUUCUACAGAACAACAUUCUUUAGUCGGUUGCUGCCACAAUCUGACUGGCUUCCAAGCUGAGCUACUCCAAAUGCAGCCUGCACCACCUUGCCAGGGGCUUCAGACAAUCUUCAGGCCUGUUAAGACACAGCGGAUCCCUUGUAAGUCAUUUGGCUCCUAGCACUUCCUGUGCAUGCCAAUUAGUCUGCGGCUUGCUCUUUCUCUGUAGCCAUUAGAACCCCAUUUCCAUUCCAGGAACCACGUGACUGAGGAACCAAAUGAUGCUGAUGCCCAAUGUUUGUCAUCAACCUGGUCCUCAAAUGUCCUUGGCAAAACCUACCUGAACCCUUAGGAGGCCAUUUUCAGAGCAGGAAAUAUGAAAAUAUUUUACAAGGAAGAAAUAUGAAAGUAUUUUACAAGGGGCCUCCCAGCUAUUAUCAAUGCAAUGCAGUGAGUCUGAAGCAGAGCACUGACUGGCCACAUUUCCCCUAGGAAGAAGUCCUCUGGAAUCCUGAUAGAGCUGGUCCCAAAAUAAACAGAAAAAACUGAAUUCAGGCUGGGUGCGGUGGCUCACAUCUGUAAUCCCAGCACUUUGAGAGGCCGAGGAGGGUGGAACAUGAGGUCAGGAGUUCAAGACCAGCCUGACCAACAUGGUGAAACCCCGUCUCUACUAAAAAUGCAAAAAAUUAUCCAGGCGUGAUGUGAUGCAGCUGUAAUCCGAGCUACGCAGGAGACUGAGGCAGAAGAAUCACUUGAACCCAGGAGGCAGAGGUUGCAGUGAGCCAAGAUCGUGCCACUGUACUCCUGUACUCCACCCUGGGCGACAAAGCAAGACUCUGUCUCAGGGAAAAAAAAAUAAUACUGAAUUCAAGCAGCAGGAAGAAUUAACUGCCCAAAUCUCUCUCCAGUGAAGAACUCACUGGCUGCUGAGAGUGCUGUAUGCAGAUAGCCUUUAGUUGUCAGACUAUUCAGCGAUUGCC